UCGCCCGCCGCGCGCGGCGGGCGGGGCGGGGGCACGGGGGGCCUACGGGAGGCAGCAGUGGGGAAUAUUGGACAAUGGGCGCAAGCCUGAUCCAGCAAUGCCGCGUGUGUGAAGAAGGCCUUCGGGUUGUAAAGUACUUUCAGCGAGGAGGAAGGCGUUGUAGUUAAUAACUGCAGCGAUUGACGUUACUCGCAGAAGAAGCACCGGCUAACUCCGUGCCAGCAGCCGCGGUAAU
rnacentral:rRNA from 1 species